CCUGCCCAGUGAAAUAUUUUAAACGGCCGCGGUACUCUGACCGUGCAAAGGUAGCAUAAUCGUUUGCCCUAUAAUUGAGGGCUAGUAUGAAUGGUUUGACAAGAAUAAAGCUGUCUCCAUGUAAUUAUAUAGAAUUUUAUUUUUAGGUGAAGAAGCCUAAAUUUUAUUAAAAGACAAGAAGACCCUAUCGAGCUUUAAAGAAGUUAAUAAAGUAACAAUAAAUAUUAAUUAAAAUAGAUUUUAUUAAGAAUUUUGGUUGGGGCGACAAAGGAACAAUUAAAGCUUCUUUUCAAAUAAAGAAACCUACGAGUAUUGAUCCAGAAUAAUUCUGAUUAAAGAAAUUAGUUACCGUAGGGAUAACAGCAUUAUCUUUUUUGAGAGCUCAUAUCGAAAAAAAGGUUUGUGACCUCGAUGUUGGACCAGGAUAUCCAGAAGAUGCAGAAGUCUUCAAAGGUUGGUCUGUUCGACCAUUAAAAUCCUACGUGAUCUGAGUUCAGACCGGCGUGAGCCAGGUCAGUUUCUAUCUUUUAUUAGUAAAAUAAGUUUAGUACGAAAGGACCAACUUAUAGUAUUAUUAUAAUAUUAACUUAUAGAUUAAAUAUAAUGUAAAAAUAAAUAAAAUUUAC
rnacentral:rRNA from 1 species